GGAUGUGAGGGCGAUCUGGCUGCAACAUCUGUCACCCCAUUGAUCGCCAGGGUUGAUUCGGCUGAUCUGGCUGGCUAGGCGGGUGUCCCCUUCCUCCCUCACCGCUCCAUGUGCGCCCCUCCCGAAGCUGCACGACGUCCCAGGUAUAGAAGGAGUGUACCGAGGUCUCCAGUCUUCGGUCCCGGGUAUACGAUAGCAAUAACAAUAAAUAGAGUGCACUUCACAUUAAUAAGAGUUUUCCCCCAUGAGCAGUCAGUUCCCAAAAGGAUGUUGAAACAAAACCCUGUUU
rnacentral:snRNA from 11 species